rnacentral:rRNA from 1 species
GUAACGAGCGCAACCCUUGUCCUUAGUUACCAGCACGUUAUGGUGGGCAUUCUAAGGAGACUGCCGGUGCAAACCGGAGGAAGUGGGGAUGACGUCAAGUCAUCAUGGCCCUUACGGCCUGGGCUACACACGUGCUACAAUGGUCGGUACAAAGGGUUGCCAAGCCGCGAGGUGGAGCUAAUCCCAUAAAACCGAUCGUAGUCCGGAUCGCAGUCUGCAACUCGACUGCGUGAAGUCGGAAUCGCUAGUAAUCGUGAAUCAGAAUGUCACGGUGAAUACGUUCCCGGGCCUU